GAGGCAUUCCUGGAGUCUCUCUGAAUCUGCUGUGAUUCUGGAGGCUGCCCGAUUCAUGAAUCUUUGUUUUUUUCUUGCUUAAUUAUACUUUGUUAAAUUUAAUUUGUCUGAAGUUUUCUUUUAACAGAUCUGGCUUCAAAAGUGGGAUUCGAAGUAAAACUUUGGCAACCCCCAGGAACACUAGGUGACCAGGCAAGGUACCUGUGGAGCCCAUUGUGCUCACUACUCUCUUGAUUGUAACUGGAGGACAUGGUAUACUUCCACCAGGUAAAGAAAGCUUUUCAAGAUCCACCAACUGAGGAUAAUCAAACCUUCCAUGAUCUGGAACCUGGAGACUGAGUCUUCUGGAAAUGACAUCACAGGAAGACUACUCUCAUUGGAAGGGACUAUACCAAGUCCUUCUCAUCACCUAUACCACAGUGAAGCUUCAGGGCCUUGAAUCUUGGGUCCAUGUCUCACAACUCAAAAGGGCUCCUUUCAAACUCCUGGAACUGUACACCUGUUGGAGACUUUCAGGCUUCCAUUGAAAGUUGAAUGGUCUCACCCCAACUGGGUCAGCAAGUACAUAAAGAAUCAUUCAGCUGGUACAAAAUGUGACUUGUGAAUUCCACAUUGACACCAAAGAAGACCUGUGAAGCACCAUACUAAAACUAAAGAAGACCUGUGAAUUCUACACUGAGACCAAAUAAGUCUUUAUGAUGGUGACAGAGAGUGGCAUCGAUGCCUAAAGUUUUGGCCAAUCUCUCUAAAUUGAGAGGGUGAUCAAAAGGGAGGAAUUGUUAAAGUGAACUAAAUAUGGCCUAAGAAGGACUCUGUACUUCUAUAUUUGAGUCCUUGUGGAUGAACCAUAAUCUAAUUGGAUUGGUAGACAAGAUUAAAAACCUAACUUAGGAGAAUGCAUCUGUAACAGUUGCUGAAUCUUGGCCAAUCCCAGCGGACAUACUUCAACCAAUUAUACACUGUUGAUUGUUCAGACUGUGUUCAAAUAAGGCAAACGCCAACCUGUAACCAAGUCAGCUGUUUCUGUACCUCACUUCUAAUUUCUGUAUGUCACUUUCCCUUUUUAUCUAUAAAUUUGCUCUAACCACGGGGCAUCCCUGGAAUCUCUCUGAAUCUGUUGUGAUUCUGGAGGCUUCCUGAUUCAUGAACCGUUUUUUUUUUCUUGCUCAAUUAAACUCUGUUAAAUUUAAUUUGCCUAAAGUUUUCUUUUAACAGAUC
rnacentral:lncRNA from 1 species